rnacentral:rRNA from 1 species
AUACGGAGGAUCCGAGCGUUAUCCGGAUUUAUUGGGUUUAAAGGGAGCGUAGGUGGGAUAUUAAGUCAGCUGUGAAAGUUUGGGGCUCAACCUUAAAAUUGCAGUUGAUACUGGUUUCCUUGAGUACGGUACAGGUGGGCGGAAUUCGUGGUGUAGCGGUGAAAUGCUUAGAUAUCACGAAGAACUCCGAUCGCGAAGGCAGCUCACCGGGCCGGAACUGACACUGAUGCUCGAAAGUGCGGGUAUCAAACAGGAUUAGAUACCCUGGUAGUCCGCACAGUAAACGAUGAAUACUCGCUGUUUGCGAUACACUGUAAGCGGCCAAGCGAAAGCGUUAAGUAUUCCACCUGGGGAGUACGCCGGCAACGGUGAAACUCAAAGGAAUUGGCGGGG